rnacentral:siRNA from 1 species
GUGUGCAUGAGAUCUACAACGA